rnacentral:rRNA from 1 species
AGAGUUUGAUCCUGGCUCAGGAUGAACGCUGGCGGCGUGCUUAACACAUGCAAGUCGAACGAACCUUCGGGUUAGUGGCGGACGGGUGAGUAACGCGUGGGAAUCUGCCCUCAGGAGGGGGAUAACGGCUGGAAACGGCCGCUAAUACCCCAUAUGCCGAGAGGUGAAAUGAAUUUCGCCUGAGGAUGAGCCCGCGUCUGAUUAGCUUGUUGGUGAGGUAAUGGCUCACCAAGGCUUCGAUCAGUAGCUGGUCUGAGAGGAUGAUCAGCCACACUGGGACUGAGACACGGCCCAGACUCCUACGGGAGGCAGCAGUGGGGAAUUUUCCGCAAUGGGCGAAAGCCUGACGGAGCAACGCCGCGUGAGGGAUGAAGGCCUCUGGGCUGUAAACCUCUUUUCUCAAGGAAGAAGAUCUGACGGUACUUGAGGAAUAAGCCACGGCUAAUUCCGUGCCAGCAGCCGCGGUAAUACGGGAGUGGCAAGCGUUAUCCGGAAUUAUUGGGCGUAAAGCGUCCGCAGGCGGCCUUUCAAGUCUGCUGUUAAAACGUGGAGCUUAACUCCAUCAUGGCAGUGGAAACUGUUGGGCUUGAGUGUGGUAGGGGCAGAGGGAAUUCCCGGUGUAGCGGUGAAAUGCGUAGAUAUCGGGAAGAACACCAGUGGCGAAGGCGCUCUGCUGGGCCAUAACUGACGCUCAUGGACGAAAGCCAGGGGAGCGAAAGGGAUUAGAUACCCCUGUAGUCCUGGCCGUAAACGAUGAACACUAGGUGUCGGGGGAAUCGACCCCCUCGGUGUCGUAGCCAACGCGUUAAGUGUUCCGCCUGGGGAGUACGCACGCAAGUGUGAAACUCAAAGGAAUUGACGGGGGCCCGCACAAGCGGUGGAGUAUGUGGUUUAAUUCGAUGCAACGCGAAGAACCUUACCAGGGUUUGACAUCCUGCGAACCUCUUAGAAAUUUGAGGGUGCCUUUUGGAACGCAGUGACAGGUGGUGCAUGGCUGUCGUCAGCUCGUGUCGUGAGAUGUUGGGUUAAGUCCCGCAACGAGCGCAACCCACGUUUUUAGUUGCCAGCAUUUAGUUGGGCACUCUAGAGAGACCGCCGGUGAUAAACCGGAGGAAGGUGUGGAUGACGUCAAGUCAUCAUGCCCCUUACAUCCUGGGCUACACACGUACUACAAUGCUACGGACAAAGGGCAGCAAACUCGCGAGAGCUAGCAAAUCCCAUAAACCGUGGCUCAGUUCAGAUCGUAGGCUGCAACUCGCCUACGUGAAGUAGGAAUCGCUAGUAAUCGCAGGUCAGCAUACUGCGGUGAAUACGUUCCCGGGCCUUGUACACACCGCCCGUCACACCAUGGAAGUUGGCCACGCCCGAAGUCGUUACUCCAACCCUUGUGGAGGAGGACGCCGAAGGUGGGGCUGAUGACUGGGGUGAAGUCGUAACAAGGUAGCCGUACCGGAAGGUGCGGCUG